rnacentral:tRNA from 4 species
UGCAGUGUAGUUUAUUUAAAAUACUUAUUUUACACGUAAGAGUUCCCUUUAGGGCUUUGCCA